AUGCCCUCUUUAGGCUCUGUAAUGAGCUCUAGUGAGGUUUGCACUUAGCACCGGAGGCGAAUCCUAGAGGAGCAGCAGGCGCGGACAGCAGACCCCAGAGCUGUGAGCCCUGAAACAAUGCUUGGGAUGUGAGCGCUGGAACAGCAUGAGCAGCGAGUCCUGGAACAGCGCUUGGGCUCAGUGCCCCACAAUAGUGAGGGCAGCAGGUCCUGAAGGAGUGUUGUGUGCCCCAGAUCAGUGCAGGGAAGUAACCAUGGAGCAACAUGUGAGGGCAGCGUGCAGGCUGCAAUUCCUGGGUGGAGACUGGCGUGGGGACACAAUCCUGGAGCUUACCUUGGUGCAGCUGAGUGCCUGGGGGCUUGGAGAAGAUAAGGGACAGCUGUUGGACUGGAGUCUGACUUGGGAGGUCAGACCAUGUGUUGAAGCCCUGUGCAGAGCUGCUACAAUGUAAUGUUUGUUUGGAAUUUCCGACCUUACUGUAAUUGUCAACACUCUAAUGAUGUCUGAAAGAGUUGCCGGUGCUGUAAAUCAGGAACAAAAACAAAGUUGCUGGAAAAGUUCAGCGGGUCUGGCAGCAUCUGUCAGCUAAAAACACAGUUAAUGUUUCGAGUUGUGGGGAAGGGUCACCGGACCUGAAAUGUUAACAUUGUUUUCUCCUUCACAGAUGCUGCCAGACCUGCUGAGCUUUUCCAGCAACUUUGUUUUGUUCCUUUAAUGAUGUCUUAUUUUUAACUUAUUUCUCAACUCUGUAAAAUAAUGCAACUACUUUUAUUCCUCUGUUCAAUCCACAAUUUGUGACUAGGCAUCUUUACCCAAGGGGUCGCUGUAAGAGGCAGACAUUGUAAAAGUCUUUCACUGUACUCCGACAAUAAAGUACACGUGACAAUAAAUGAUAUUCUAUUCUAAAA